GAUGAACGCUGGCGGCGUGCCUAAUACAUGCAAGUCGAGCGAACAGAUAAGGAGCUUGCUCCUUUGACGUUAGCGGCGGACGGGUGAGUAACACGUGGGUAACCUACCUAUAAGACUGGGAUAACUUCGGGAAACCGGAGCUAAUACCGGAUAACAUUUGGAACCGCAUGGUUCUAAAGUGAAAGAUGGUUUUGCUAUCACUUAUAGAUGGACCCGCGCCGUAUUAGCUAGUUGGUAAGGUAACGGCUUACCAAGGCGACGAUACGUAGCCGAUCUGAGAGGGUGAUCGGCCACACUGGAACUGAGACACGGUCCAGACUCCUACGGGAGGCAGCAGUAGGGAAUCUUCCGCAAUAGGCGAAAGCCUGACGGAGCAGCGCCGCGUGAGUGAUGAAGGGUUUCGGCUCGUAAAACUCUGUUAUUAGGGAAGAACAAAUGUGUAAGUAACUGUGCACGUCUUGACGGUACCUAAUCAGAAAGCCACGGCUAACUACGUG
rnacentral:rRNA from 1 species